rnacentral:rRNA from 1 species
GGGCCCGCACAAGCGGUGGAGUAUGUGGUUUAAUUCGAUGCAACGCGAAGAACCUUACCAGGGUUUGACAUCCUGCGAAUCUCUUGGAAACGAGAGAGUGCCUUCGGGAACGCAGUGACAGGUGGUGCAUGGCUGUCGUCAGCUCGUGUCGUGAGAUGUUGGGUUAAGUCCCGCAACGAGCGCAACCCACGUCUUUAGUUGCCAGCAUUUAGUUGGGCACUCUAGAGAGACUGCCGGUGAUAAACCGGAGGAAGGUGGGGAUGACGUCAAGUCCUCAUGGCCUUUAUGUCUAGGGCUGCACACGUCCUACAAUGGUACGGACAAAGAGCAGCAAGUUCGCGAGGACAAGCAAAUCUCAUAAACCGUGGCUCAGUUCAGAUCGUAGGCUGCAACUCGCCUACGUGAAGGAGGAAUCGCUAGUAAUCGCAGGUC